rnacentral:tRNA from 1 species
AAGAGUAUAAUUUAAUGGCAAAAUAUGGAGUUUCAACCUCCCAAUUCUCAGUUCAAGUCUGGGUGCUCUUG